GUGCAGACACGCGGCGUUCCUGUUUGCAGACAAAGUUCCGAAGACAGCAGAGAACUUCCGUGCCCUGAGCACUGGGGAGAAAGGAUUUGGUUAUAAAGGUUCCUGCUUUCACAGGAUUAUUCCGGGAUUUAUGUGCCAGGGGGGGGACUUCACACGCCAUAAUGGCACUGGAGGCAAGUCCAUCUAUGGGGAGAAGUUUGAUGAUGAGAAUUUCAUCCUGAAGCACACGGGUCCUGGCAUCCUGUCCAUGGCCAACGCUGGACCCAACACGAACGGUUCCCAGUUCUUCAUCUGCACUGCCAAGACCGAGUGGUAAGGGCAGAACACGGCAAAGGCGAC